GGCUCAGGAUGAACGCUGGCGGUAUGCCUAACACAUGCAAGUCGAACGGUCACUUCGGUGAUAGUGGCGGACGGGUGAGUAACGCGUGAGAAUCUGCCUCUUGGUUGGGGACAACAGUUGGAAACGACUGCUAAUACCCAAUGUGCCGCAAGGUGAAAGAUUUAUUGCCAAGAGAGGAGCUCGCGUCUGAUUAGCUAGUUGGUAGUGUAAGGGACUACCAAGGCAUCGAUCAGUAGCUGGUCUGAGAGGAUGAGCAGCCACACUGGGACUGAGACACGGCCCAGACUCCUACGGGAGGCAGCAGUGGGGAAUUUUCCGCAAUGGGCGAAAGCCUGACGGAGCAAUACCGCGUGAGGGAGGAAGGCUCUUGGGUUGUAAACCUCUUUUCUUAGGGAAGAACACAAUGACGGUACCUAAGGAAUAAGCAUCGGUUAACUCCGUGCCAGCAGUUGCGGUAAUACGGAGGAUGCAAGCGUUAUCCGGAAUUAUUGGGCGUAAAGCGUCCGUAGGUGGUUUUUCAAGUCUGCUGUCAAAGACCGUGGCUUAACCACGGAAAGGCAGUGGAAACUGAGAGACUAGAGUUCGGUAGGGGUAGCGGGAAUUCCCAGUGUAGCGGUGAAAUGCGUAGAUAUUGGGAAGAAUAUCGGUGGCGAAGGCGCGCUACUGGACCGAAACUGACACUCAGAGGACGAAAGCUAGGGGAGCGAAAGGGAUUAGAUACCCCUGUAGUCCUAGCUGUAAAUGAUGGAAACUAGGUGUGGCUUGUAUUGACCCGAGCCGUGCCGAAGCUAAUGCGUUAAGUUUCCCGCCUGGGGAGUACGCACGUAAGUGUGAAACUUAAAG
rnacentral:rRNA from 1 species